CUUCAGAGGCAUUUAGGGAAUCUGAAGAAUCAGAUUAAUAGGAAAACACAAUAUAGUUCUGCUUGUUUAAUGAAGGAUGUUUCUAUUUUUACUAAGUUUUAACUAUAAGGAUAGGGUGUAUUGGUUUGCAACGGCUGGCUAAGAAGCACCAGAGACCGAGAGACUUAAGCAACAUUUAUUUUCUCACAUUUCUGGAGACCAGAAAUCCAAGAUGAAGGUGCUGGCAAGGAGCAAAUUUUCAAGUUUAUAUAUGGCAGCAGUCCUAAUCAAUCAUGGGCCUUGGCUUCUUGGCUUUCAGUUAUAUGAAAAUCCCCUCACAGAAACCUGGGAUGGCAGAAGACAAGGACAUUUAGUACAAGGGGCGGGCGGGAAUCACUACAGGACUUCAAAUAAAUCCUCCAUGAGAAGAUUUUCCUGUGUCAAUGGAUGUAGAAAGAGAGCUGCCCCUGUUGUUUUGCAAACAAUGAAUCUUCUCCAGCCUAUAAAUAAUGAAAAGAGAAAUCUCAGAAAGGGUUUUUCUAAUUCGGCUGGCUUCAGGCUACCUACCCAGCAUGCCUUCUUGUUUACAACGGCAAGUACAAAUAUAUGAUUUUUUCCCCCCUUUCACUCAAAACAUUAGCUUUUUGGCUUAUGGAAUUAACCUCUGCCAUGCAUCUAUGCUAUUUGCUUGUGGUUGCUAUUUUAAACAUUGAAUCUGUUUUGUACUUUUUACCAUAAGGCUCUUAGAGCUUUAUAUAAACUGCCACUCCAUGAAUUCUCUUCUAAUCUCAUAUAAGGUAAAUGUUAAAAUCUCACCCAGAUUUGCUGAUGGACAAACAGAAAGUUAUAAGCACUCAACAGAAGGUGAGUAUUCUAUAUGAUACAUUUUGAACAUCAGUAACUGUAUUAAAUGUGUUUCUAGCCUCUGAAAUAGACUUAAUGAUACAAUCAUCUGACCAUAUACAACUGAGAGAAGCCCCAGUUUCCUGGCUUUGACAUCCUCCCUCCCAUAGGACCCAUUUCCCAAGGAGUCCGCUUCCUGGGGUUGCUUUUCAAAUACAAACUGAUCAAUCCCGAGUCUACAGGGCUUGGGGCCCUACCCUGAACACCCCAGGGCCAGAUGCCAGGCAACCCUGGACAGCCCUUGUGCCCCAGAGCCCACUGAAAUCAUUCAAGCUAGUAAAUCCUACACCUGUCUCCCCUUCUUCACCCUCUCCUUCUCAGAAACCACAGGAAAGGCUUUUUAGCCCAGAGCUCUCCCCCUUCACUGCCUCGUGCCUGACAGAGAAGCUUUCCCAUGUGGCUUCCCCCAACAUGGUGUACCUUCUAGAAACUCUAAUCGACUACCUUUUCAAUGGAAAUCAUUUCCUCAUCUGUUGGAUUUACAGUGAAUUUAAAACAGCAACCGCCUUGGAGACCAAGAAGGUCCCUCCUUAUUUCUACUUACUUAUUUCCUUUCUCCAUAACAGAAUUUUGCUUGAAUUAUUCCGGUUAUGUGAAUCACCUAUUAACCUGUUACCACAUCUCCAGAAGACAUGGUACAAAGUACUACAGCAGUCCUGAGAUACAGUUGUACCCCAAAGCCAAGAAACAGAAUCAAAUAGCUCUUCCGCAACACUAUUGGUUCUUAGAAGCUGAGAUUUAGUCAAGACUUGAAAAUAUGCUGAUCCUCCUAUUUGUAAGGCUAAAACAAUUCUGUAUGCUUUGCAAUUUCUUAUCUGUCUUCAUUUGUUUGGUUUUUAUGUAAAUUUUGCUGAAAGAAAUCUGAUGUAAUUACUCUGGGUAGUCUAGAAGGAGGCAAAUGUGUAAAUGUAGGCAAAACGGAAUUUUUUCUGUGUUAAUAUUUUUGGGAAACUAUCUGUGAUUUUUUUGGUGCCCCUACCAAUAUAGAUGUAAACACAGCUCAAUGAUUUUGAUAGAAAUCUAACUCUUCAGAGCCCAAGUGCAUUUAAAAAUGAGAUGACAUGGGGCGCCUGGGUGGCUCAGUGGUUGAGCAUCUGCCUUUGGCUCAGGGUGUGGUCCUGGAGUGACAGGAUCCAGUCCCACAUUAGCCUCCCCUUGGGGAGCCUACUUCUCUCUUUGCCUAUGGCUCUGCUUCUCUCUGUGUGUCUCUCAUGAAUAAAUAAAUAAAAUCUUAAAAAAAAAAAUGAGAUGACAUGGUUACUAAAUUCCCAUCCUGCCCUCUCAGCAACCUUGGGUAAUCUUAUAAGGAGCAAAUUAUCUCAGAAGUCUUAUUCAAAUUUUCAACCAAAUCAUAACACUUAGUCUGCAAUGGAAUGAUGAAAGUGUACUCUCUGCUAUGGUCCCUGGUCUUCCUGGCCUGCAUCAUUAUCCUUUUGUGCUGUGCUCUCUAGGACAUUUGAACUUCCUUUCACUUACACUGAAUGUUUACUUUUUAUGAGAGGAAAUCUAUAAGAAUGCACCAUGUAAUACAUCACUUCUUCUGGGUGUUGAGACCAACUCAACAUAAUGGUGAGCAUUCAUGGUGUUUUUUUUUCAAAGAUUUUAUUUAUUUAUUCAUGACACACACACACAGAGAGAGAGAGAGAGAGAGACAGGCAGAGGGA